AUUUGGUACCAUAUACCUAGGAAGAUAAGAGAGACAUUGGUGUUGCUACGGUUUUGUUUGAUUCACGCUUGCAAGGAAAAGAAGUGUGAAAAUAUUUAGGACAAGACUCAAAUUUUUUGUGUUUUUAUGCCAGGGGCGGAAAUUUGACUUUCAUUUUAAUAGAGAAGGUAAAGCAGUAGAUUUUAUUGAAGAAUUUAGGCACAGUAGAAUGGGGGUGAAGGGAAGCAUUUGCAGUUUUCAGUAAAAUGUUUUGGAUUGCUUCUGAGAAGAGGGUGAUAUGCAGAAGGGACCAGAAUAAUCCAGAAAACAAGUGUAAUGGGCCUAGACCUUUGCAUGUUUAUAUGAGAAGAGGAAUGAGAAUGGGUAACAAAGAAGGUGGAAUCCAGAAGACUCUUAUAUAGAAGGUCAUAGAAGAAUUCAGGGGCAGCAAAUGGAAAUGAGUAGCAGAAAUUGAAUGACCUGGCAGUACCAUGAGUUUUAUAAAUAGAAUGGUAGAAUAAGUGGAGAGGCUGAGAAGUUAGUUAUUAAAGUUUACGAGCAAAUUCUUGCUUGCGCCAAUGGAUGAAUUCCCAUGUGUUCUUUCUUGUCGGCUAUUGUAUUUCUGUUUGGCUAUUGUUCUGUAAUUGAAAUUUGAAAUUUCAGUAAAUACAAGCCAAUUUUUUCCAUCUUUCCUUCAUUUCUAUUUCAAGUUCUUUCCUCUAUCAGCGAGUUCCUUUGAAUUUGAUGGCCUUAAGUAAACGCUUAGGUGAAGAAUUAGUUAGAAAAUUUGAAGGGUUAGAAUUGAUAUCAUUGAGACAAAUGUGAUUCAGCGACAAGGUAUCACAUUAUUAUAUCAAGUCUUGAUCAAUAUUCUGGGUUUUCUUUGUUAAAUUUGGAUUUGAAGAGAACUAAAAGCCUUUUUAAUCAAGAAUAUGGACAGAGAUUUUGUUUAGAAAUGCAAGGUUGUGAUGGCUUAG
rnacentral:misc_RNA from 1 species